rnacentral:lncRNA from 1 species
UUUUAUUUAACAAGAUAAUAAGGUAGUAAAUAAAUUAGCAUAAUGUAAAUGAUAUAGUUAGAUAACAAUAAACAUAAACAUAAAAUACUUGAAAUAAAGUGAACAAUAAAAUAAAUUGCAAAAAAAUAAAGUGCAAUAAUAUAAAUGUUAGAAGUUAGUAGUUAGUGAACAUAAACAUAAAGUAAAUGAAAUAAAAUGAACAAUAAAAUAAAUUGCAAGGAAUUAAAGUGAAAUAAUAUAAAUAUUAGGAGUUAGUAAUUAGUAGUUAGUAACAAUAAGUAAAUGGAUUAGCAAAUUAAUGUAAAGACAUGGUUUCAUCUAUGCAUCAAAUGACCCAAAUAUGGUUAAAAUAGAGACAAUCUAUCAAUGUCUCAAAGUAUCAUGAAUGAUCUAUU